GAUGAACGCUGACAGAAUGCUUAACACAUGCAAGUCUACUUGAUCCUUCAGGUUCUGGUGGCGGACGGGUGAGUAACGCGUAAAGAACUUGCCUUGCAGUCUGGGACAACGUCUGGAAACGGACGCCAAUACCGGAUCUUAUGAUUGAAUCGCAUGAUUUACUUAUGAAAGCUAUAUGCGCUGCGAGAGAGCUUUGCGUCCCAUUAGUUAGUUGGUGAGGUAAUGGCUCACCAAGACGAUGAUGGGUAGCCGGCCUGAGAGGGUGAACGGCCACAAGGGGACUGAGACACGGCCCUUACACCUACGGGAGGCAGCAGUGGGGAAUAUUGGACAAUGGACCAAAAGUCGGAUCCAGCAAUUCUGUGUGCACGAUGAAGUUUUUCGGAAUGUAAAGUGCUUUCAGUUGGGAAGAAGAAAGUGACGGUACCAACAGAAGAAGCGACGGCUAAAUACGUGCCAGCCGCCGCAGUAA
rnacentral:rRNA from 1 species